UUGAGAUGAAGAUCCUGAAUACCAGAGAGGGCCGCUGACAGGUCCAGGAUUACCCUUCUAGCACCUAGCAGAGGGAGGAUUCACCACAUCAUGCUUCCUGACAUCUCUCCCUUUGAAGAGCAGUCAGACUCCUGCUUUGCUCUUCAGACUUUGUUUGGGGGUUUAACAGCCAUGUGAAGUGCUCACUACCCCUUUGCCUUCUGCCUUGAUUGUAAGUUUCCUGAGGCCUCCCCAGAAGCUGAGCAGAUGCUUCCUGUACAGCCUGCAGAACUAGCCCACAGCUAUUCCAUGGAUGGGCACAUUUGGAAGUUUGGUUCUAAAAUCUAAAAGAAGAAAUUUAAGAGUGCUGAAGAUAACUGCAACUCCAAACCUAACACUACCUAACAUGGUAGUUCUAUGUUCUGCCAUCUUGAAGCAAAGUGGAACCAGAAGUGAGAGGACUAUUUCUAGGUCAUGCUAUCGUUACCCUGACCCCGGUC
rnacentral:antisense_RNA from 1 species